GACAGAGGAUGCAAGCGUUAUCCGGAAUGAUUGGGCGUAAAGCGUCUGUAGGUGGCUUUUUAAGUCUGCCGUCAAAUCCCAGGGCUUAACCCUGGACAGGCGGUGGAAACUACCAAGCUGGAGUGCGGUAGGGGCAGAGGGAAUUCCCAGUGUAGCGGUGAAAUGCGUAGAUAUUGGGAAGAACACCGGUGGCGAAAGCGCUCUGCUGGACCUGCACUGACACUGAGGGACGAAAGCUAGGGGAGCGAAAGGG
rnacentral:rRNA from 1 species